rnacentral:rRNA from 1 species
AAUGAACGCUGGCGGCAGGCCUAACACAUGCAAGUCGAGCGGACAAAUGGGGCUUUUUCCCGUAUUCCGCGACGGACGGGUGAGUGAUGCCUAGGAGUAUGCCUUGUCUUGGGGGCUAACGUCCGUAAGCGGGCGCUAAUACCGCAUACGUCCUGAUGGUGAACGUGGGGGUUCUUUGGACCUCACGCUAUCUGAUGUGCCUAAUACGUAUUACCGCGCCGCAUUAGCUAGUUGGUAAGGUAACGGCUUACCAAGGCAACGAUGCGUAGCCGACCUGAGAGGGUGAUCGGCCACACUGGAACUGAGACACGGUCCAGACUCCCACGGGAGGCAGCAGUAGGGAAUCUUCCGCAAUGGGCGAAAGCCUGACGGAGCAACGCCGCGUGAGUGAUGAAGGUCUUCGGAUCGUAAAACUCUGUUAUUAGGGAAGAACAAAUGUGUAAGUAACUAUGCACGUCUUGACGGUACCUAAUCAGAAAGCCACGGCUAACUACGUG